CAGCACCGCGGUAAUACGAAGGGGGCUAGCGUUGUUCGGAUUUACUGGGCGUAAAGGGCGCGUAGGCGGACUGAUAAGUCAGGGGUGAAAUCCCAAGGCUCAACCUUGGAACUGCCUUUGAUACUGUUUGUCUUGAGUUCGAGAGAGGUAAGUGGAACUGCGAGUGUAGAGGUGAAAUUCGUAGAUAUUCGCAAGAACACCAGUGGCGAAGGCGGCUUACUGGCUCGAAACUGACGCUGAGGCGCGAAAGCGUGGGGAGCAAACAGGAUUAGAUACCCCAGUAGUCCCUGUCUCUUAUACA
rnacentral:rRNA from 1 species